rnacentral:rRNA from 1 species
AGUGAACGCUGGCGGUAGGCCUAACACAUGCAAGUCGAACGGCAGCACAGGAGAGCUUGCUCUCUGGGUGGCGAGUGGCGGACGGGUGAGGAAUACAUCGGAAUCUACUCUGUCGUGGGGGAUAACGGAGGGAAACUUACGCUAAUACCGCAUACGACCUACGGGUGAAAGCAGGGGACCUUCUGGCCUUGGGGGAUGGAAUGGGGCGAUGUCGGAUUAGCUAGUUGGCGGGGUAGAGGCCCACCAAGGCGACGAUCCGUAGCUGGUCUGAGAGGAUGAUCAGCCACACUGGAACUGAGACACGGUCCAGACUCCUACGGGAGGCAGCAGUGGGGAAUAUUGGACAAUGGGCGCAAGCCUGAUCCAGCCAUACCGCGUGGGUGAAGAAGGCCUUCGGGUUGUAAAGCCCUUUUGUUGGGAAAGAAAUCCAGCUGGCUAAUACCCGGUUGGGAUGACGGUACCCAAAGAAUAAGCACCGGCUAACUUUGUGCCAGCCGCCGCCGUAA